CCUACGGGAGGCAGCAGUGGGGAAUAUUGCGCAAUGGGGGCAACCCUGACGCAGCAACGCCGCGUGAUUGAAGAAGGCCUUCGGGUUGUAAACUGCGUUUAUACGGGAAUAACGCGCCUUACGUGUAGGGCUUUGCAUGUACCGUAUGAAUAAGGACCGGCUAAUUCCGUGCCAGCAGCCGCGGUAAUACGGAAGGUCCGGGCGUUAUCCGGAUUUAUGGGGUUUAAAGGGAGCGUAGGCCGCAUGUCAAGCGUGCUGUGAAAUGUCCGGGCUCAACCCGGGCCUUGCAGCGCGAACUGGCGUGCUUGAGUCCGCGGAAAGCAGGCGGAAUUCGUCGUGUAGCGGUGAAAUGCUUAGAUAUGACGAAGAACCCCGAUUGCGAAGGCAGCUUGCUGCAGCGGAACUGACGCUGAUGCUCGAAAGCGCGGGUAUCGAACAGGAUUAGAUACCCUUGUAGUC
rnacentral:rRNA from 1 species